CCUUAGACCCCUUUCAUAAUUUCAGAUUGCUUAUUUAACUUUAAGAGGGGAUGUCCAUAUUUUGUAUUGCUUCUCUUAGCACUUUUGAAUCAAUCUUGCAGUUGUACGGCUUACUCUGCCAUAAUUUCUCUCCCUGGAAAGCAAUGCUUCACACUUGAACUCAGUGAAAAGCUGUGGCAUUCCUCCUUUUCUAUCUUGUGUGUCUCUGGCAAGUGAUGGCUGCUUGUUGGCAAUGGAGCUGGUGGCUGCUGCUGUGCUGAAAAAGAAUCUAUAUUGAUAGCAAUGAAAACAGCUGUAUAGCCCCAACACAGUCUUGGUUUUCCACUUGACUGAGAAAAUAUAAUCCCUCCAGAUCAAACACAAAAGCCUUGGGAUCAUGCACUACAUUAUACUGGAACACUGGGGGAUCCUGCCAAAAGAUAAGGCCCAGAGGCAAGAGGUGACCCCAUCACCACUCUGUGGAGCAAGACGAAGUGACUUUAAGUGAUGGUGUGAGUUGUGGUGGUGCAUUUCCCACACCCUCACGGCCACCUUGGACCUGCUCUGUGACUUCAGCAAUUCCCAUUAUGCCUUGACCAUUCCAACUGGGCAGUGAAGUGUCCCUUGACUGUACAAGCUGGGCAGUGAAGCAUUCCUUGACCAUACCAGGAACUCUUGAAUUGCACAACUGGGAGCGGCACUGUUCAUACAGAGGACAUCGAUUUCCUGACCAAGGUGGAGAACAAGGGAUAAUCAAUUAUGCCCUGUCAGCAUUGGAACAUUACUUAGCUGAAUUGUAGCCAAAGUGGAAUGGCACUAUUGUUAUCAGACUUUUGAAAAACUUCAGUAGUUACUGACUUGGGUUGUGGCCAGGAUUAUGGCCAUAUUGAUUAAAGUCAGUAAUUUUGUG
rnacentral:lncRNA from 1 species